rnacentral:rRNA from 1 species
GAUGAACGCUGGCGGCGUGCCUAAUACAUGCAAGUCGAGCGAACAGAUAAGGAGCUUGCUCCUUUGACGUUAGCGGCGGACGGGUGAGUAACACGUGGGUAACCUACCUAUAAGACUGGAAUAACUCCGGGAAACCGGGGCUAAUGCCGGAUAACAUUUAGAACCGCAUGGUUCUAAAGUGAAAGAUGGUUUUACUAUCACUUAUAGAUGGACCCGCGCCGUAUUAGCUAGUUGGUAAGGUAACGGCUUACCAAGGCAACGAUACGUAGCUGACCUGAGAGGGUGAUCGGCCACACUGGAACUGAGACACGGUCCAGACUCCUACGGGAGGCAGCAGUAGGGAAUCUUCCGCAAUGGGCGAAAGCCUGACGGAGCAACGCCGCGUGAGUGAUGAAGGUCUUCGGAUCGUAAAACUCUGUUAUUAGGGAAGAACAAAUGUGUAAGUAACUGUGCACGUCUUGACGGUACCUAAUCAGAAAGCCACGGCUAACUACGUG